rnacentral:rRNA from 1 species
UGGGGAAUAUUGCACAAUGGGGGAAACCCUGAUGCAGCAACGCCGCGUGAGUGAAGAAGUAUUUCGGUAUGUAAAGCUCUAUCAGCAGGGAAGAGAAUGACGGUAACUGACCAAGAAGCCCCGGCUAACUACGUGCCAGCACCCGCGGUAAUACGUAGGGGGCGAGCGUUAUCCGGAUUUACUGGGUGUAAAGGGAGCGUAGACGGCGAAGCAAGUCUGAAGUGAAAGCCCGUGGCUCAACCGCGGAACGGCUUUGGAAACUGUUUUGCUAGAGUGCUGGAGAGGCAAGCGGAAUUCCUAGUGUAGCGGUGAAAUGCGUAGAUAUUAGGAGGAACACCAGUGGCGAAGGCGGCUUGCUGGACAGUAACUGACGUUGAGGCUCGAAAGCGUGGGGAGCAAACAGG